rnacentral:tRNA from 1 species
GGUUGGAAAGAGAUUGCAGUUCAGUGGUAGAGCAUCUGCCUCACAUGCAGAAGGACUCAGGUUCAUUCCCCAGUAUCCAGUUA